rnacentral:tRNA from 1 species
GCGCCAGUGGUCCAGUCAAUGCGAUCUGGCAUGGUCUAAGACGUCGCCCUGCCACGGCGGAGAAAUUGUUCCGCAAACUCGGGUUCAAAUCCCGACUGGCGCA